rnacentral:lncRNA from 1 species
GAUUUACCAACAACACCACAUGGAAAAGAAGCAUGAAGGCGCGAAGCUCCCUUCUCUUCAUCCGGUGUGAGAAAGCUUGCAUGCGCUCCGGAACUGGUUCUUUCCACGAGAAAAUCAAGAAGUCAGCUUUGGGACAGUGAACACAAAGUUCCCAAGAAGUGACCUCAGGAGUGGAAGGCUAUUCCUCUGAAGAGAGANAGAGAGAAAGAAAAAAUGGAUUAAUAUAAGCAACUGUCCAAGAGUUUUUUGUUUGGAUGUUCAGUCGUGAUAACAUAGUCAAUGUGCAGCAAACGGUUCNGACUGGCUCAUCGUAGAGAGGCUUAAAGGAAAGGUAUAAUCAAUAGCUGUUAAUCACAUUACAUAAGCAUGGACUGGGUGAUAAAUUUCUGUGUAGUGACAACCUGUAGUCAACCUGUAGUCAGCAUCAUGCCAGCACUGAUCCCAAAUGAAUGGAAAUAGCAGAUACAUCUAGAAAAUGCUGCAGGUAUUGUAGUUAUUCAUUACAAUUAAUUCAUUAACUCAC